CCUGGUGAUUUAAUCAGACGUGACCCACCUCUUUCCUUUCCGAACAGAGAAGUGAAAGCGUCUGGUCCCGAAAAUACUCUCAAGGGAAGAUAGGGUUUGCCCGGA
rnacentral:rRNA from 1 species